rnacentral:rRNA from 1 species
AUUGAACGCUGGCGGCAGGCUUAACACAUGCAAGUAGAGCGAGCGGCGGACGGGUGAGUAAUGUAUGGAAAACUGCCUGAUGGAGGGGGAUAACUACUGGAAACGGUAGCUAAUACCGCAUACCAUAAGAUGUGCCCAGAUGGGAUUAGCUAGUAGGUGGGGUAAGGGCUCACCUAGGCGACGAUCCCUAGCUGGUCUGAGAGGAGGACCAGCCAAAUGGGAAUUGAGACACGGUCCAGAUUCCUACGUGAGGCAGCAGUGGGGAAGAUUGCACAAUGGGCGCAAUCCUGAUGCAGCCAUGCCGGGUGUGUGAAGAAGGCCUCCGGGUUUUAAAGCACUUUCAGCGAGGAGGCGUUACUCGCAGAAGAAGCACCGGCUAACUCCGUGCCAGCAGCCGCGGUAAUUC